rnacentral:rRNA from 1 species
UACGGAGGGAGCUAGCGUUGUUCGGAAUUACUGGGCGUAAAGCGCACGUAGGCGGCGACUCAAGUCAGAGGUGAAAGCCCGGGGCUCAACCCCGGAACUGCCUUUGAAACUAGGUUGCUAGAAUCCUGGAGAGGUGAGUGGAAUUCCGAGUGUAGAGGUGAAAUUCGUAGAUAUUCGGAAGAACACCAGUGGCGAAGGCGACUCACUGGACAGGUAUUGACGCUGAGGUGCGAAAGCGUGGGGAGCAAACAGGAUUAGAAACCCCCGUAGUCC